rnacentral:rRNA from 1 species
GUCGUACGCUUCUUUUUCCACCGGAGCUUGCUCCACCGGAAAAAGAAGAGUGGCGAACGGGUGAGUAACACGUGGGUAACCUGCCCAUCAGAAGGGGAUAACACUUGGAAACAGGUGCUAAUACCGUAUAACAAUCGAAACCGCAUGGUUUUGAUUUGAAAGGCGCUUUCGGGUGUCGCUGAUGGAUGGACCCGCGGUGCAUUAGCUAGUUGGUGAGGUAACGGCUCACCAAGGCCACGAUGCAUAGCCGACCUGAGAGGGUGAUCGGCCACAUUGGGACUGAGACACGGCCCAAACUCCUACGGGAGGCAGCAGUAGGGAAUCUUCGGCAAUGGACGAAAGUCUGACCGAGCAACGCCGCGUGAGUGAAGAAGGUUUUCGGAUCGUAAAACUCUGUUGUUAGAGAAGAACAAGGAUGAGAGUAACUGUUCAUCCCUUGACGGUAUCUAACCAGAAAGCCACGGCUAACUACGUGCCAGCAGCCGCGGUAAUACGUAGGUGGCAAGCGUUGUCCGGAUUUAUUGGGCGUAAAGCGAGCGCAGGCGGUUUCUUAAGUCUGAUGUGAAAGCCCCCGGCUCAACCGGGGAGGGUCAUUGGAAACUGGGAGACUUGAGUGCAGAAGAGGAGAGUGGAAUUCCAUGUGUAGCGGUGAAAUGCGUAGAUAUAUGGAGGAACACCAGUGGCGAAGGCGGCUCUCUGGUCUGUAACUGACGCUGAGGCUCGAAAGCGUGGGGAGCAAACAGGAUUAGAUACCCUGGUAGUCCACGCCGUAAACGAUGAGUGCUAAGUGUUGGAGGGUUUCCGCCCUUCAGUGCUGCAGCUAACGCAUUAAGCACUCCGCCUGGGGAGUACGACCGCAAGGUUGAAANUCAAAGGAAUUGACGGGGGCCCGCACAAGCGGUGGAGCCUGUGGUUUAAUUUGAAGCAACGNGAAGAACCUUACCAGGUUUUGACAUCCUUUGACCAAUUUAGAGAUAGAGGUUUCCCUUUGGGGGCAAAGUGACCGGUGGUGCAUGGUUGUUGUCAGGUUGUGUUGUGAG